rnacentral:lncRNA from 13 species
GCCCCAGGCAGGAAAGGAAACAGGAGGCUUCUCAAAAUAGACCAGCAGUGUGCAGCUCAGAUGCAUUUCCCAGCUCCCACCAUCUGGCCAAGCCUGGGCCGGAAGGCAGACAGGGGAGGGGAGAGCUGUGGAGGGGCUCCGACUGUUUGCAGCCCACCUCUCACCCAGACCUUCCCCUCUUCCUCAUCUGUCGACGUUAUGGCAUCAUUGCAAGGCCAGAUCAUCGUCAUCUCACAGGCUGGAGUGAAGUAGCACAAUCUUGGCUCACUGGAACCUCUGCCUCCCAGCUUCAAGUGAUUCUCCUGCCUCGGCCUCUUGAGUAGGCUGGGACUUACAGGUAUGUACCACCAUGCCUGGCUAAUUUUCGUAUUUUCAGUAGAGAGGGGGUUUCAUCAUGUUGGCCAGGCUGGUCUUGAACUCCUAACCUCAAGUGAUCUGCCUGCCCCAGGCUCCUAAAGUCUCAAGAUUACAGGUGUGAGCCUCAGUGGCCAGCCUGGCAGAUUUCUUAUCAGUUUCACAGAUGAGGGAACUGGGGCUCCAAAGAGGUCACAUAACCCCCACCACCACCCCUCCACCCUUCCCCCAUCCCCACCCAAGCCACAGGUAGUGGUUUGAGGCACCCGAAUCCAAACCAGGUCUGCUGGAUUCUCCCCUGCCCACCACCAGGUCCCUCACAAUUUUGUUGAUGGGAGACAAUAUUUAACGAGUGACUCACGAAGUGACUCGAGUGUAAAACCUCGAUCUGUGCAGUGUUUUCCUUAGAAAGUUCCUCAUGAUCUCAGUGCCAUCAUACUCUGGUUCCCGCCUCCCCUUGCAGCACUGAGCACCCAUCCCAUUCCCACCUUUGCCCUUCAGGUAUAACCCGUGGCUGGUUCCCCUCCUUAGAAAGUGUGUUCACGAAGGCCAGGACCACAUCCCCUGCACCAGGCACAUAGUAGGUGCUCAAUAAAGAUUUCCAAAUGAAUGCA